AGCUGUGAGAACAAUCAGGCUUAUGCAUCUCUCACCCCAGUGAUCACAAGGGCUGAUCUGGCUGGCUAGGUGGGUUUCCCCUUACUCCCUCAUGGCUUCAUAAAUUUCCCUUCAGAAGCAGCUCACCAGGUUGAAAAAGCCAAUUCCCCCCCCCCCCCCAAAGAGAUAGACUGGAUAGUAUGAAUAGCUUUUAGAAACUCCAGAUAAAUUCUGUUUUUCUUCUUAGACAUUUAACUACAUUUUCUUUCUUUCUUUCUUUUUAAAAUACAUUUUCAACUGAGUUUAAGAUACUCAGUUUGG
rnacentral:snRNA from 1 species